rnacentral:rRNA from 1 species
GAGCACGAAGGUUGGCUAAUCCUGGUCGGACAUCAGGAGGUUAGUGCAAUGGCAUAAGCCAGCUUGACUGCGAGCGUGACGGCGCGAGCAGGUGCGAAAGCAGGUCAUAGUGAUCCGGUGGUUCUGAAUGGAAGGGCCAUCGCUCAACGGAUAAAAGGUACUCCGGGGAUAACAGGCUGAUACCGCCCAAGAGUUCAUAUCGACGGCGGUGUUUGGCACCUCGAUGUCGGCUCAUCACAUCCUGGGGCUGAAGUAGGUCCCAAGGGUAUGGCUGUUCGCCAUUUAAAGUGGUACGCGAGCUGGGUUUAGAACGUCGUGAGACAGUUCGGUCCCUAUCUGCCGUGGGCGCUGGAGAACUGAGGGGGGCUGCUCCUAGUACGAGAGGACCGGAGUGGACGCAUCACUGGUGUUCGGGUUGUCAUGCCAAUGGCACUGCCCGGUAGCUAAAUGCGGAAGAGAUAAGUGCUGAAAGCAUCUAAGCACGAAACUUGCCCCGAGAUGAGUUCUCCCUGACUCCUUGAGAGUCCUGAAGGAACGUUGAAGACGACGACGUUGAUAGGCCGGGUGUGUAAGCGCAGCGAUGCGUUGAGCUAACCGGUACUAAUGAACCGUGAGG